rnacentral:rRNA from 1 species
AAACAUCGCCUCCUGCCACCACUCAUUAUAGGAGGUCCCGCCUGCCCUGUGACCAAAAGUUUAACGGCCGCGGUAUUUUAACCGUGCAAAGGUAGCGCAAUCAAUUGUCUUUUAAAUGGAGACCUGUAUGAAUGGCAUAACGAGGGUUUAACUGUCUCUUUUUCCUAGUCAAUGAAACUGAUCUGCCCGUGCAGAAGCGGGUAUACACACACAAGACGAGAAGACCCUAUGGAGCUUUAGACGCCGACCAGCUACGAAAAGCGACCACUGACUGGAUCCUCAAACAACGUAAUUAUGGCACAAACGUCUUCGGUUGGGGCGACCACGGAAGAUAACAAAGCUCCCGAGUGGAUAGGGGGAUACCCUAAAACCCAGAGCCACAGCUCUAAGUCACAAAAUAUUUGACCAAUAAUGAUCCGGCUUUAUGCCGACCAACGGACCAAGUUACCCUAGGGAUAACAGCGCAAUCCCCUCCCAGAGUCCAUAUCGACGAGGGGGUUUACGACCUCGAUGUUGGAUCAGGACAUCCUAAUGGUGCAGCCGCUAUUAAGGGUUCGUUUGUUCAACGAUUAA